rnacentral:rRNA from 1 species
UACGUAGGGUGCAAGCGUUGUCCGGAUUUAUUGGGCGUAAAGAGCUCGUAGGCGGCUUGUUGCGUCGACUGUGAAAACCCGCGGCUUAACCGCGGGCUUGCAGUUGAUACGGGCAGGCUAGAGUUCGGUAGGGGAGACUGGAAUUCCUGGUGUAGCGGUGGAAUGCGCAGAUAUCAGGAGGAACACCGAUGGCGAAGGCAGAUCUCUGGGCCGUAACUGACGCUGAGGAGCGAAAGCAUGGGGAGCGAACAGG